rnacentral:rRNA from 1 species
AAAGCGGAGAAUAAGGCGCAACCCUAUCAGCUUGUUGGUAGUGUAAAGGACUACCAAGGCCAUGACGGGUAACGGGAAAUCAGGGUUUGAUUCCGGAGAGGGAGCCUGAGAGAUGGCUCCCACGUCCAAGGACGGCAGCAGGCGCGAAACUUGUCCACUCCUUAUUGGGGAGACAGUCAUGAGACGUGAGUAUAAGACCUGAGUGUAAAGACCUUAGGGUGAAGCAAUUGGAGGGCAAGCUUUGGUGCCAGCAGCCGCGGUAACUCCAACUCCAAGAGUGUCUAUGGUGGAUGCUGCAGUUAAAGGGUCCGUAGUCGUGAAUGCAAUUAAAUGUCGUUGUUCAAUAGCGAUGAGUUUGCUGAUGUUUGCGGAACGGAUAGGGAGUGUAG